rnacentral:rRNA from 1 species
UACGUAGGGGGCAAGCGUUAUCCGGAUUUACUGGGUGUAAAGGGAGCGUAGACGGUAAAGCAAGUUUGAAGUGAAAUGAUGGGGCUCAACCCCGUAACUGCUUUGAAAACUGUUUAACUAGAGUACCGGAGGGGCAGGCGGAAUUCCUGGUGUAGCGGUGAAAUGCGUAGAUAUCAGGAAGAACACCGGUGGCGAAGGCGGCCUGCUGGACGGAAACUGACGUUGAUGCUCGAAAGCGUGGGGAGCAAAC